GAUGAACGCUGGCGGCGUGCCUAAUACAUGCAAGUCGAGCGAACGGACGAGAAGCUUGCUUUUCUGAUGUUAGCGGCGGACGGGUGAGUAACACGUGGAUAACCUACCUAUAAGACUGGGAUAACUUCGGGAAACCGGAGCUAAUACCGGAUAAUAUUUUGAACCGCAUGGUUCAAAAGUGAAAGACGGUCUUGCUGUCACUUAUAGAUGGAUCCGCGCUGCAUUAGCUAGUUGGUAAGGUAACGGCUUACCAAGGCAACGAUGCAUAGCCGACCUGAGAGGGUGAUCGGCCACACUGGAACUGAGACACGGUCCAGACUCCUACGGGAGGCAGCAGUAGGGAAUCUUCCGCAAUGGGCGAAAGCCUGACGGAGCAACGCCGCGUGAGUGAUGAAGGUCUUCGGAUCGUGAAACUCUGUUAUUAGGGAAGAACAUAUGCGUAAGUAACUGUGCACAUCUUGACGGUACCUAAUCAGAAAGCCACGGCUAACUACGU
rnacentral:rRNA from 1 species